UACGUAGGGUGCGAGCGUUGUCCGGAAUUACUGGGCGUAAAGAGCUCGUAGGUGGUUUGUCGCGUUGUCCGUGAAAACUCACAACUCAAUUGUGGGCGUGCGGGCGAUACGGGCAGGACUGGAGUACUGCAGGGGAGACUGGAAUUCCUGGUGUAGCGGUGGAAUGCGCAGAUAUCAGGAGGAACACCGGUGGCGAAGGCGG
rnacentral:rRNA from 1 species